rnacentral:rRNA from 1 species
GACGAACGCUGGCGGCGUGCUUAACACAUGCAAGUCGAACGAUGAAGCCGGAGCUUGCUCUGGUGAAUUAGUGGCGAACGGGUGAGUAACACGUGAGUAACCUGCCCUUGACUCUGGGAUAACUGCUAGAAAUGGUAGCUAAUACCGGAUACGACCCUCGGAGGCAUCUCCAGGGGGUGGAAAGAAUUUCGGUCAAGGAUGGACUCGCGGCCUAUCAGCUAGUUGGUGAGGUAACGGCUCACCAAGGCGGCGACGGGUAGCCGGCCUGAGAGGGUGACCGGCCACACUGGGACUGAGACACGGCCCAGACUCCUACGGAAGGCAGCAGUGGGGAAUAUUGCACAAUGGGCGCAAGCCUGAUGCAGCACCGCCGCGUGAGGGAUGACGGCCUUCGGGUUGUAAACCUCUUUUAGUAGGGAAGAAGCGAAAGUGACGGUACCUGCAGAAAAAGCACCGGCUAACUACGUGCCAGCCGCCGCCGUAAGAC